rnacentral:rRNA from 1 species
ACGGAGGAUGCCUUGACACUAAGAGGCGAUGAAGGAGGUGGCGUGACUGCCUUAAGCUUCGGGGAGCCGUCUAGCGGGCUUUGAUCCGGAGAUUUCCGAAUGGGGAAACCCAGCACAGUAAACCUGUGUUAUCUCGCGCAAGCGAGAUGCGUACCCGGUGAAGUGAAACAUCUCAGUAACCGGAGGAAAAGAAAUAGAAUAGAUCCCCUUAGUAGCGGCGAGCGAAAAGGGAACAGCCUAAACCUGUUGUUGGUUAGCAAUAAUUAAUGACGGGGGUUAUAGGGACAGUACAUUUUUUAAAUCAUGUAACAUGAAACAUGUAACAAUAAUAUGUUGCGUGUCGCGUGUUAUAUGAUUUGAAAUAGAAAGUUACAAAUCCGAGUGUUAGCAGAACGGCCCUGGAACGGCCGACCAAAGAAGGUGAUAGUCCUGUAAGCGAAAACAAUCGGACUUUCGUAUUGUUACCUGAGUAGCCCGAGAUAAGAAUGUCUUGGGUGAAUUUGUCCAUACUACUGGAUAAGGCUAAAUACUCUUAGUGAUCGAUAGUGAACAAGUACCGUGAGGGAAAGGUGAAAAGCACCCCGGUGAGGGGAGUGAAAUAGUAACUGAAACCGUAUGCCUACAAAGAGCGGGAGCGUGCUUCGCACGCAGUUCAUAAAGUUGAAAGUUCUUAAAGUUCAUAAAGUAAAUUCAAAACUUUAUAACUUUACAAACUUUAUAAACUUAUGACUUGCGCGCGGAGCGUGUGACCGUGUGCCUAUUGAAGAAUGACCCAACGAGUUUAUUUAAACUGCUAACUAUAAGUUCCUUUGGAACGAAUGGAUAGGGAAACCAAGUGUUAAAAGCGCGAAUUCCAACUCAAAUUUUUGGAAAGAAAAAGCAACCAUCAAGGUUGCUGUUAUGAUUGACACAGCUUGUUAUUGGGACCGGAAAAAUCUUUCAAGAUAUACUCCCGCGCCGAUUCCAACUAUAAGUUGCGACAAUACAUGGAAAUAAGAACAAUUAGAAAUGGGCAAGAGACCUAAAAUCAACAAAGAAAUACCAAAGAACAAAUUUCUAUUUUUCAUGCUAAUCUCCUAAUAAGAUAUUAGCAUUUAGCUUGUAUUUUGUCAAAUAAUCGUUAAUUUCUAAAAAUUUGAGUUGGAUAUGCAGUUUUGAUAAGACCCGAAGCCAGGCGAGCUAACCAUGCCCAGGGUGAAGCUCUUCGAAAGAAGAGUGGAGGCCCGAACUGGUUGAUAGCGCAAUAUCAUCGGAUGAGGUGUGGUUGGAAGUGAAAAGCUUAUCGAGCUUGGUAAUAGCUGGUUCUCCCCGAAAUGCCUUUGGGGGCAGCGUCGUAUAGUAAUAGAGGGGGUAGAGCACUGAAUGGUUCGCCGUGCCCUUAUGGGUAGGUUUACCAAACAAACUCCGAAUACCUCUGUGGAAUAUACGGCAGUGAGUACGCGAGGGCAAAGCUUCGUGUACGCGAGGGAAAGAGCCCAGAUCACCGCUUAAGGUCCCAAAAUGUAAACUAAGUGAAAAGGAAGUAUUUUGUCUUAGACAGGUAGGAGGUUGGCUUAGAAGCAGCCAUCCUUUAAAGAGUGCGUAACAGCUCACUACUCGAUGUUGCCGCAAGGCAAUAAGGCAAAGUGCGCCGAAAAUUUAACGGGGCUAAGUUUACUACCGAAAGCGUGGGUGCGCACAGCGCACAAGUUGAAAGUUAAAAGUUCGUCAAGUUCGUAAAGUAAAAAACUUUAUAACUUUAAAAACUUUAUAAACUUGUAACUUGCGCGCUGUGCGCGCGGUAGGGGAGCAUUUUCAACGCAGUGAAGCCUUUCUGUGAAGAUGGGUGGAGCGUUGAGAAGGGAGAAUGUUGGGAUGAGUAACCGCAAGUCCGGUGAAAGCCCGGACCGCCGAAAGCCUGAGGUUUCCUCCGCAAUGUCAAUCAACGGAGGGUUAGGCGUACCUAAGCGUAAGUCCCGCUAAGGCGGGGCGAUCGUAAUGGAUGGCCGGUUAAUAUUCCGGCCCUUCAGUCCUUUUCGAAGGAGUGACGGAGCGCAGUAGAGUAAGUGUGUUAUUGGAUUCAACAUUUGCAAUAUAAGAAUUGAGCGCAGGAAAAUCCACGCUCGGCCGCAAGGCAAAUUCAAGUAUUGUGAAAAUCAUCGCAAGAUGAAAUUUACUUGAGCGCGCUUCCAAGAAAAACUUCUAAGUCCGCCGAAAGGCGGAAGGAGGACUGAACACGUACCGCAAACCGACACAGGUAGGCAGGUCGAGAAGACCAAGGCGAACGGGUGAUUAUUGGCUAAGGAACUCGGCAAAAAAGCGGCCGUAACUUCGGAAUAAGGCCUUCCCUCACCAGUUUUGGCAUGUUAUAUAAUUUUCAUGUGAACUAUCUAUAUAAUUCAAAAUAAUCAGACUAUGGAAGUUUAUAUUGGUUUAACUUCCAAUUUAAAGAAAAAACUUGAAACCCAUAAUUGUGGUGGUAAAAAAUUUACUACUAGAAAAAUGGGAGAAUGGAUUUUGACUUAUGCUGAAGCAUAUAGAACAAAAUUAGAUGCCGUAAUUCGAGAGAAAAGAUUAAAAAAUCAUGGAAAUGCAAAAAUAGAAUUAUUCAAGCGAAUAAAUAAUAGUUUGCUUGAUGCCAAAACUGGUGAGGGACGCAGCUAAAGAACCCCUGGCGACUGUUUAUCAAAAACACAACUCCGUGCUAAGCCGAAAGGCGCUGUAUACGGGGUGACGCUUGUCCGGUGCUGGAACGUUAACGAAGCGCCAGUGAACGACGGCAGUAACUAUAACUGUCUAAAAGUAGGUGCGAAAUACCUUGUGGGGUAAGUUCCCACGCGCAUGAAUAGCGCAACGACUGGGGGACUGUCUCAGCCAAUAGCCCGGUGAAAAUGCAAUGUCGGUAA